rnacentral:rRNA from 1 species
GUCCUUCGGGACCGAGCGGCGGACGGGUUAGUAACGCGUGGGAAUGUACCCUUCUCUAAGGAAUAGCCUCGGGAAACUGAGAGUAAUACCUUAUACGCCCUUCGGGGGAAAGAUUUAUCGGAGAAGGAUCAGCCCGCGUUAGAUUAGAUAGUUGGUGGGGUAAUGGCCUACCAAGUCUACGAUCUAUAGCUGGUUUUAGAGGAUGAUCAGCAACACUGGGACUGAGACACGGCCCAGACUCCUACGGGAGGCAGCAGUGGGGAAUCUUGGACAAUGGGCGCAAGCCUGAUCCAGCCAUGCCGCGUGUGUGAUGAAGGCCUUAGGGUCGUAAAGCACUUUCGCUAGGGAUGAUAAUGACAGUACCUAGUAAAGAAACCCCGGCUAACUCCGUGCCAGCAGCCGCGGUAAUACGGAGGGGGUUAGCGUUGUUCGGAAUUACUGGGCGUAAAGCGUACGUA